rfam:Oryza glumipatula chromosome 1, whole genome shotgun sequence.
AGGCCAUGGUGCAGCCAAGGAUGACUUGCCGAUCGAUCGAUCUAUCUAUGAAGCUAAGCUAGCUGGCCAUGGAUCCAUCCAUCAAUUGGCAAGUUGUUCUUGGCUACAUCUUGGCCCCU